rnacentral:lncRNA from 1 species
GGGAAAUGUAGGGGAGCAGCCGGACUGAGCUGCCCAAGGGGGUCGGCGCCCCAGGCUUCUUGGUGGCAUGCUGGGGAGCGGGGAGGGGGCGAUUCUUACCCGAAGGCUGCCGAGCUACAGGCGGCGGUCGGUCCGGGCGUCUGCUGUAAUCCACUAGGCGCUGCCCGGCUGCGCUCACUCUCGGACGCAGAGACCCGCUCAUGUUGGUGAAGAAGCCGCGCCAGAACCGCGCGGCUGCAGUCACCUCGAGCAGGCCGGCUGCUCCUGGCAGGCGGUGUCGGCGCCGGCGGGGGACUCGGCGCCCAGGGCCCCUUCCAGGCCCUCCCUCGCCGGGCUCCCCACCAGCUCCGGAGGUGGCGGCGAUGCGGACCGAGUGAGCGGCGGUGGGGCCAGGCCGGGCGCCGGGCGGGAGCCGAGGCCGCGGCGGACUCCGCAAUCCCGCAGCCGGUGACUGGAGCCCACCUCUGCAGAGACAAAGGAACUGCUCUGGUGAACUCCCCCUGAAAGUAAAUGUCCUUGGCUGGCCUCCAGCAUUCCCCUCAUGGGCAUAGCCAUGCAGCCUUCAGAACCUUCCUGAAAGAGCCCUCGGUCCCGCAGUCGGGCCCCGUCGCUGACUCUCCAGCUUCCGAGCCGCGGGCGGCGAGUCCAGGGCACACGGAGCGGCCGCGGGGGCGCCAGGCCGGUGUCGCCCGAGGCAGGCGGGCCCUCGGGGCGGCCCCUAGCGCCCGAGGGGAGCUGUUCUCCCCUCGCCUCUCUCCCUACUCACACCCACCCCUCCCCACACAUCCCCACACACACGCUUGCUCACAGCUUGUCGUGUUGUUUAAAACAGGUGGAAGACCUCUGUAAUGAUAUUAUGCCUUUCAAUAAAAAUUUUAUGAGGUGUAUUUGAUUAUAGAUUAAUGUGUCCCUAAUAAAACGGACGGAUGGAGCAGAUCGGAGGGCCCCCUCCCCCUGCCACACUCACACACGCCCGCGCGGCCACACACACCCCGACGUGAGGCUGGGCACACGCCGCGGCCCGAGGGGCGAGCCGGGGCGCGGCGGUGGAGGACACAGAGGGGCUUCUGCCUGCCCUCGGAAGGGCGGGCGGCCGGGCGAGUUGGCGCAGCACGGACAGUGGCGGCCAGGGUGCUUCGUCUUCUCCGAUGAUGCUGGAAAGGCCCUGGAAGAGAACACGCCACAGGGCAGAACCCAAAUGCUAGAGCAGCUUGCUCCCGCCCGCCGCCUCAGCCCUGCCUCAGCGAGUCUCCCCGGGCAGGGCCGCUUCGCGCGGUUCGCACUUAAAGGCCUCGGAGGAGACUCCCAAAAUGUCUAAAAAAUUCGGCCGAAUGGCUAGGUCCUUGGGACACUCCCUUCUGAUUUUUUUCCCCCUACAGAGGUGAGGUUGAGCAGCCUUGAAUCUGAGGGAAAUGCCCAUUGUCACUCCCAAAUCCAUGGUACAAAGCCUCGGAAGCCCGGCUGGGAGCCCAGACAAAAGCGGCCGGGGCGCCGGCAGCGGAGGGCAUAUUCCUUGCUCUACAAGUUGCCCAGCUCACCCUUGGAGGGCUCCCGGCCCACCUCCAGCCCCGAAAAGGAAGCGGGUAAAUGGCUAUUUAUGGCCUGAUUGAUUACCUUUGCCAAUAGCUUUCUGAUUUUGUUCCAGAUGGGAUGCCUUUGCCUUGUAGCUCAGGCUUUCCUCGGAUACAUGGCCCGCUAUCAACAGCUAAUGGUAUUCCCCACAUGAUCGGAGAAACGGCUAAAUAAAAAUUACCCUCCUCCUGCCCAACCGGUGUUAAGUCUGGGGCAAAGCUAUUACAACGUUUUCAAUCUAGCAUUGAUUCCAAGCCCUCUCCCCCACCCCCAGGAAAUGGCCCCCUAAAAGAGUUCUGUCUUGGAAUGUUCCUGGUUUUGGGGCGGAAGUUUAAAAUUUUGAAUGCCAGUGUCCCAGAGACUCCCUGGCUGAGGACUUAUAGCACCUAAAUGGAUCGUUCUUAGGGAAACAUUUAAAAGGAAGAAAUGGAAAGGAUGUGUUUUGUAAAACUGCUGGAAGCUAUUUGAAACUGCAGGCAGGACCUCAGGUAACGAAUUUUCUGUUAGCUUUCUCCUGCAAGGCCUCUUCUCCCUUUUCCCCGACAGGACUAGAUAAGUCUGGGCUCUCUAGUGGAGAUCCUGUUGAAGCCGGUGGAAGCUGGUGGGAGUCCCCUGGACCAUGGCAGCGAAUGGAACAUUAGACUUCAUGGGAAGUCAUGUUCAUUUGCAAAAUUUUCAGUCACCCUUUCUGCAUUUUCUUGCAUCCCAGAUGCAGCAGUUCCCACCAGCAUUUUGUAAUUAAAUAGAGGAAAGACUGACUGGGGAAAAUCUUUUCAUUUCUUCCUUUAACAAAAUUUCAUGUGGGCCACUAAAAGGUAAUGACUGAGCAUAAAACCCGUCCACAAGGAGAUCAAGGCGAAGUGGGAUGGGAAAACUCACCCAUCCUCGGCUUCUCUGGGGUCUGGCUGUCUUGCGCUUGGGAUGGGGGUAGGGCUGAGGGAAAGGGGGCAGAAUUGGAUCCGCUGCAGUGCUACACUGCUGUUUGUCCUUGCUCCUGUAAUGGAGGCCGGCAACUUCCAGGUGGGCAAGACUAGCUUCAACCUAGCCCCUGAUGAUUGCUCGCCAGCCAGAAAUCACCAAGAUGCCACUGAAAGCAUUAAAAACAACACAACCAAAACCAAAGAGGAGAAAACACACAAAUGGGAAGCUUUGAGGAGAAAGUGGCUUGGGGUAUAGGCUUACUUACCAGGUUCAGGCCAGAGGAAAGCUCACACCCAUUGAGAGCGCAAUUAUGUUACUAUCACUGGGGACUGGGAAAGGAAAGAGGAGACUCCCCUUCCUCCCAAUUAUGAAAACUUCACUCUCAAGCUAGCUUAUAAUUCCUCUCCCCCAACCACUGCCAAAAUCCAACACCCUAGGCCUCCUCCAGCUUUUCUCCCCCAUCUCCCUUCCCCUACUAGUCUAUCACUCCCCUGCCCAAAUGCCCCAAACAGGGAGUGUAACCAGAAGAUAAUCUCACCAUAGGCUUUCAUUUCCACCAUAACAUAUUUCCAUUUCAGAAAGCAGAGGGAGUGAACUCAUUUCCAGAGUUUAUUGCAUUAUACAUGCGACCAGAACAUGCACAGAAAGGACAGGUUGCUGUUGUACUUCUACCAAACCACAGAUGCACCACAAGGGAAAGGCUACAAGGCAUAAAUCGCCAAUAUCCCAUCUCACCAAGGACAACUGCUAAAUUCAUUUGUGAAAAGAUACAUUGUAAUGUGCUUUUUAAGUCCCCCUCCCUCCAACUUGUGGGUUUUCUUAAUCUUUUUUUUUUAAAUAUAUAUGUCAUUUUUAAAGUACUGGAUGUAUUCAAAAUGCCAUGAGUUCAUGGACUAACCACACACAUAGACCUUUUGUGUUAGGAAAGACAUGAAAAAGUCACAUUGCUGGAUGGAUGGAUGGAUGGAUGCUCUACAGUUCCAAUAAGUUAAGACCCAAAUGAAAAUGCGCAAUAAUAGUUACCCUGCAUUACGAUGAAAAAAUAAUAAAUUAC